UACAGGUAUGUGAAAUUUGUCUUUUCCUGGUCCCCCAGUGCAAUUGUAAUCUAGUUGUAACCCAAAUAUCUGUCAAAGAAACAAUAGUACUCUUGGCCUGCUAACCUUUCAAGCAUUUGGUUAAUAAAUGGUACAGGAUAGUG